GAUGAACGCUAGCGGCAGGCCUAAUACAUGCAAGUCGAACGGUAGAUCGGGUAGCAAUACUUGAUUGAGAGUGACGUAAGGGUGCGUAACACGUAUGCAAUCUACCCUCAACAGGAGUAUAGCUCGGGGAAACUCGGAUUAACACUCCAUAACAUUACGAUGUGGCAUCACAUUGUGAUUAAAACUCCGGUGGUUGAGGAUGAGCAUGCGUCUGAUUAGUUAGUUGGAGGUGUAACGGACCCCCAAGACGAUGAUCAGUAGGGGAACUGAGAGGUUGAUCCCCCACACUGGCACUGAGAUACGGGCCAGACUCCUACGGGAGGCAGCAGUAGGGAAUAUUGGUCAAUGGGUGAGAGCCUGAACCAGCCAUGCCGCGUGCAGGAAGACGGCCUUCUGGGUUGUAAACUGCUUUUAUCUGGGGAUAAAAAGCCCAUGCGUGGGACAUUGAAGGUACCAGAUGAAUAAGCACCGGCUAACUACGU
rnacentral:rRNA from 1 species